AUUUUCAUUUUUAUUAGCUUAAAUCACAUACUUUUCCGCAACUUCCUGUUUGACCCAUAUGGCAUUUAGAAGCAAGUUGUUUAAUUUCCAAUUACACAGAAGAAUUUUUCCUAUAUCUUUCUAUUAUUGACUUACAAUUUAUUCUGUUAUAGUCAGAGAAUAUAUUUUGUAUAAUGUAACUUUUUUCAAGUAUGUUAAGAUUUGUUUUUAAUGGCCAAAUAUAUAGUUUUUCUUGGUGAUUGUUCAUGUAAACUUGAAUGUACUGUGUAGAAUACUCCAUAAUCUUUUGUUGGGCAGAAUAUUCUAUAUUUUAUAAAUGUCUAUAAAUGUCAAUUAGGUCAAGUUGGUUGGAAUGUUGUUUAAAUCUUCUAUAUCCUUGUUGUUUGACUGUCUCCUUAUUCUAUUACUAAAAGAGUACUUUUAAAGUCUCCAAAUAUAUUCAUGGAUUUGUUUACUUCUCCUUUAAGGUUUAUCAGUGUUCAUAUAUUUUGAAGGUAUUCAUUUUAUAUUGUUAUUUGAUAUGUAUCUUGGAUGCCAUAUCAUUAUUGGAUAAAUAUUUGUGUGUGUGUGUGUGUGUGUUGUGUGUGUGUGUGUACACACUCUAGGGGUUACAAUAUACCUACUUAACCUUUAACAGUCUCCUUGGAGUUAAUAUUUUCCUAUUUUAAACAAAGUAAAGAAACUCUGUUCUUUUUGUGUUAGUUAUGUUUUACAUUAAAAAAACUGAAAGCCCACCACUAGGAACUGUUAUAAUUUUUUUGUUUGUUUUCAAUGACUAUAUAUAUUUAAAGAGCUUAGGAGAAGAAUGUAUUUUAAAAAAUAUUCAUCUGGACAUAUAACCAUUUAUGUUGCUCUUCCUUUAUUCCUGAAGUUUCAAAUAUUUCUCUGGCAUCAUUUUCCUUCAUCCCCAUAAGAACAUGUUUUACCAUUUAUCUUAGGCAGGCCUGCUAGCAACAAAUUCUCCUUAUUUUUUUCUUCUUUUGAAAAAAUGUUUAUUUUGCCUUCAUUCCUAAAGGAUAUUUUCACUGGACAUUGAAUUAUGGGUUGGCAUUUCUUUUCUUUCAGCACUUUAAAGAUGUUAUUCCAUUAUCUUCUGGCCUCUCUAGUUCCUGAUGAGAAAUUCACAGUCAUUCAAAUUGUUUCCUUAUAUGCAACAUGCCAUUUUUGAAUGGCUUCUUUUAAAAUCUUUCUUAAUUUUUAGUUUUCAGUGAGUUAUUAUGAUGCCUUUGAACUUAAUUUCCUUUGAGUUUGCCUAUGUGUUGUUUGCUAAGGUACUUAAUUUUGUGGACUCAGGCCUUCAAAUUUGCGAAGUUUUCAGUGUACUUUCUUUAGAUAUUUUUACUUUUAACUAAUUGUUUCUUGUCUCCAUCUGUGACACCAAUGAUACGGAUAUUAGAGCAUUUAAUAUUAUCUCAUAAGAUUCCAAUGCUCUGAUAAUUUAUUUUCUAUCUCUUCUCCCCUCUAUUCUUUAAACUGGAUAAUUUCUGUAACUCUAUCUUGUAAUUCUUUCUUCCCUCUUCCAUCCUGCUACUGCACACAUCCACUGGUAUUUUUAUUCUCAAUAUUGUGUUUUUUGGUUACAAAUUUUUUUGGUUUGUUCUUAUAGUUUUUAUUUCUCUAUUUAAGACUAUCUUUCCAUUCAUUCCAAGAGUUUUUAUCUUUACCUCAAAGAACAUAACAGUUACAUUAAUGUAUUUUCCUGGUAACUCUAAUAUUUAAGUUAUCUCAGGGUUGUCAUCUCUGCUUGUCUUUCCCCUCUGUAAUUAGGCACAUUUUCCUGGAUUUUGGUAUUUUUGAGUAAUUUUAGAUUGUACGCUGGACAUUUUGAAAAUUAUGUUAUGGAGCGCUGAAUCCUAUGAAAAUUCUCUGAAGAAUGUUGACUGUUUUGUUUUAAAAGACAACUCAGUUUCCUCUCUUGGUAGACAAGAUGGAGCAGACAAACUUUCCCCUAGUCUUCCUAAUAAGUACAGCUAAAAAAUCUAGACAGCAUAUUUAAAGCAGGCAUAGAAGACCUUGAAAGAUAGAAGGUCCCUGGCAGAGCUCCCUUUGGUUGUUGUUAUUGUUGUUGAUUUUUACACCCUGGACUAGGUGCUGAGGAAGGCAAUGUGGAAACACCAAUGGGCAUGGCCAUAAAAUGUCAGAAGGAAAACUGGCUCUCUCUACCUAAAGGACCAGGAAAGGGGCAGACGAGCAUGAAAGCCAUCUUUUAAACACUAACCACACUCAUCCAACCAUUUUGUCCCAGAAUAAAUAGUGGCCAUAUCUCCUUCCUCAAAGACUGAGGAGGGUAGACGUCACCCUCAUCCAGAUGGAAUGACACCCCCCUUCCCCUCCACCGUGGUGUCAGCAGAGACACAGGCAGAACAUGGACAUCAGUGCCCACCUGAGAGUAACUGGAAAGUUCCCUUCUCCCCAGCUGACAUGGUGUCAGAAAAGCUCUGCUAAAUCAGAAGACUUAAAUCGGAGUCUCAUGACACUAUUCCAAGAGUCCAGGAUACUCUCAAAAUCACUCAUAAUCCUAAGAAUCAGGAAAAUCUUAACUUGAAUGAGAAAAAAACCAAUUUUUUUCUGAGGUAAUACUGAUGUUGGGAUUAUCUGAUAAGGAAUUUAAAUCGACCAUUAUACAAAGUCUUCAACCAACCAUUACAAACAUGUUUGAAACAAAUGAAAAAAAUAGAAAGUCUCACAAAGAAAUCAAUGAUAUGAAUAAAGGUUUGUUCUUCUGGUCCUCUGGCAAGAGAAAGAGGAUUUCUCUUUGAGUUUUUGUUAUCUUACCUACUGUGAGAUGGGUCAUCCUUGGGUCAAAUUAGGGUAUAAAAAGGGGGGAAAAAUCAGAAAACUCACUGCCAAACUGGUUAUUUGAUUUCUUCCCAGUGUCCCUACUACUUUUUAAUUUUCAGAGCUCUCAGGCAUCUACUUUUUUUAUUCUUGUCCAGUGUUGUAAUUAGGCUAGAUAGACUUACUCCACCUUGGCCAGAGUAGAAAUCUAACAACAUUUUGAAGCCCAGGCCUAGUUAACCCCCUUGGAUUUGAAAUUAUAAAAGAUCUGUGAUAAGUGACCAGGGACAAAUCCUAUCAAUGGAAUCUGGAUGUUAAAACUUUGACUUUGGAGGAAUUGGCAAAAUAAGCAGGAGAGGCAAACAUGAGGAAUAAAUGGCCAGAAAUCCAGUCCUCUGGUUACAGCAAACUGCUUUAGUGAAAAUUAAAUCCCUGACGGGGUUAGGGAAAAAUAAUGUCAGACCACAUGAAGUUAAAGCAGAUAUUUGGAAAUGAAAGAAAAAUGUGUUAACUUUGCACAUUACCAGGUUGCACCUUAUUGCUAGCUGGGAGGAAGAAAAGCUCCUUCAACUCAGUACAGGCAACUACCUUGCCUAAAGGAUCUUAUCAAAGCCACUCUAUUUAUGCUAGCUUGGAUAAAUUUAAAUCCAAUAAUACCGAUGAGGAGGAGAAGAAGAAUGUGUUAGAGUGGGGGUGCUGAGUUUACUCCACUUGUUAAGGUGGUGAAAGAAAAGAUGAUUGACUUGAAUCCCAUGGUUGGGGGUGGGGGGUGGGAUCCAAGGCUAUAAGUUAUGUCUAAACUGAAUAGCUUUGGGGUGAUGGAAUGGUAGCAUACUUGUGAACAAUGUGCUUCAAUACUUACCAUAGAGUGGUAGGAAAAAUCAGGAGACCAAGAGCAAACUUCUAGGGAUAUGGUGAUAUUAUGAUGUUAAAUACUAGCAAAACCAUUACGGCAAAACCAUUGUUUGGAAAUUGAGGAAGUAAAGAACAAUAUCAAAAACCCCCAAUAAGACGCCCCAAAUGCAAAAACUUGCAGUGGCAUUAACUAAACCUGAGUGCAUAGUUGGAAUAAACGUGAUUAGGAAGGUAGGGCUUUGCCAUUAUGUGCAAUACCUUUUGCUUGAUUAUAACUGGCUAUGUUAAUUAGAAAUUUUUAGAAUUGCCUACAAUUUCCUCCCUACUGAAUCCUAAAACAAUACCAAAUCUCAAGAAAAUAAUGAGAAAUUUCAGUUUUCAUUUUUAAGUACUGUAAAAUUUAAUUUAAAUAUUUUAAAGGAUAGUAGUUCCUACUAGCUUGCUCCACAGCCGUCCUCUCUAGCGGGUUGGUGGGUGAUUCAUGGAAACUAAUCGCUGUUUGUUGUGCUUGAAUCAGGUAGUUCCACUGAUCUACCGUAUCACACAUGGGGAAAAAGCUGUUCAGAAAAUCCAGUAAGCUGAAUGUGAUGCUGUGAUAGUGUUUUUUAGGCUAGGGGUCAAAUUGGAGCUGCAGCUGCCCACCUACACCACAGUCACAGCAAUGCAGGAUCCCAGCCACAUCUGUGACACACACAGCAGCUCAUGGCAAUGCCUAGAUCCUUAACCCACUGAGAGGGUCCAGGGAUUGAACCCGUGUGUCCUCACGGCUACUAGUUGAGCUCAUUAUGGCUGAGCCGCAACAGAACUCCAAUGCCAUGAUAGUCUUGGUUAGUAAUUUCUGUCCCAAUCUUAGAAGCAAAUCAGACAAAACUUUUCCUUUUUAUAGGAAUGACUGAUAUACCUUCAUCAUCGCCUCCUAAGGGAAGUCAAAUGAAUUCUCCAUUGUAUUUUGACAAUCUAGUGAAAUUUAGACCCAAUUACAGUCAAGCCCAAGUUAACAUAUGCAUUGAUGAUUGUCUGAAAAUUUCCCUCUCAGAGGAGGAAGCCCCUAAGAUUUGAAAACAGCACUGGUACAUAUGACCAGCUGAAGAUGCAUUAUGUAUGGCUAAAAUACAGAGCUGAGUUCAAUCCACUAAAUACUAGGGAAUUACUUGGGUUGGAGGCCAGGGGAGGCAAACCAUCCAAGGCAGGGAAUAAACUGCUAUAUUUGCCAGACCCUGCUAAUUAGAAAGAGACACAAGUAGUGUGGCGUUUGGGUUUGGUGGGAUACUGUACACUGUUCCUUGGAAGCCCUAAUAUAUUGAGUGACAAGAAAAAAACUGAAUUCGAAUGAGAUCCAAAACUAAAACAGGCUUUGAGAGACAUGCAGAGGGAUGUAGCCCCAAAUAAUACCAUUUGGGAUGUCCUAAUGCAAAAAUUAUUUUGGAGGCUUGUAAAAGAGAUAAUAAUAUCCACACACACACAGACACACAGACACACACACACACACACACACACACACACACACACAGACUGGAAACUCUUGCAGAAGUCUUUAACAUUAUUUUUCCCUCACCAAGAAAUGGCUGCUGGAAUACUGGAUUCAAAGUUAUCUAGUGCUGAGAAGAGCUAUGGCCACUUUGAAAGACAAUCAUUGGCCUUUUGCUGGGCUUUAGUGACUAUUGCUCCCACCACUCAGGGAUUUAAAAUAAUUCUGAGGAAUUCCCGUUGUGGCUCAGCAGUAACGAACCUGACUAGUGUCCAUCAGGACGUGAGUACAAUCCCUGGCCUCACUCAGUGGAUUAAGGAUCCGGCAUUGCUACGAGCUAUGGUGAAGAUUGCAGAUGCUUCUCAGAUCCUGCGUUGCUGUUGCUGUGGCUGUGGCCGGCUGCUACAUCUCCAAUUCUACCCCUAGCCUGGGAACAUCCAUAUGCUAUGGGUGUGGCCCCAAAAAGUAAAAAAAAAAAAAAAAAAAA
rnacentral:lncRNA from 1 species